GACGAACGCUGGCGGCGUGCUUAACACAUGCAAGUCGAACGGAAAGGCCCUGCUUUUGUGGGGUGCUCGAGUGGCGAACGGGUGAGUAACACGUGAGUAACCUGCCCUUGACUUUGGGAUAACUUCAGGAAACUGGGGCUAAUACCGGAUAGGAGCUCCUGCUGCAUGGUGGGGGUUGGAAAGUUUCGGCGGUUGGGGAUGGACUCGCGGCUUAUCAGCUUGAUGGUGGGGUAGUGGCUUACCAAGGCUUUGACGGGUAGCCGGCCUGAGAGGGUGACCGGCCACAUUGGGACUGAGAUACGGCCCAGACUCCUACGGGAGGUAGCAGUGGGGAAUAUUGCACAAUGGGCGGAAGCCUGAUGCAGCAACGCCGCGUGCGGGAUGACGGCCUUCGGGUUGUAAACCGCUUUCGCCUGUGACGAAGCGUGAGUGACGGUAAUGGGUAAAGAAGCACCGGCUAACUACGUG
rnacentral:rRNA from 1 species